rnacentral:rRNA from 1 species
UGUUAGUCGAACGAGGUCCAACCAGUGGCAACACUGGAGAAGACCUAGUGGCGAACGGGUGAGUAACACGUGAGAAACCUUCCCCGAAGACUGGGAUAAGCCCUCGAAAGGGGGUCUAAUACCGGAUGUCCUCUUCACGUCGCAUGGCGAGAAGAGGAAAUGGUCAGCCGCUUCGGGACGGUCUCGCGGCCUAUCAGCUUGUUGGUGAGGUAACGGCUCACCAAGGCAACGACGGGUAGCUGGUCUGAGAGGACGAUCAGCCACACUGGGACUGAGACACGGCCCAGACUCCUACGGGAGGCAGCAGUGGGGAAUCUUGCGCAAUGGGCGAAAGCCUGACGCAGCGACGCCGCGUGAGGGAUGACGGCCUUCGGGUUGUAAACCUCUUUCAGCCCUGACGAAGCGAAAGUGACGGUAGGGGCAGAAGAAGCACCGGCCAACUACGUGCCAGCAGCCGCGGUAAUACGUAGGGUGCAAGCGUUGUCCGGAAUUAUUGGGCGUAAAGAGCUCGUAGGCGGUCUGUCGCGUCGGCUGUGAAAACUCGGGGCUCAACCCCGAGCUUGCAGUCGAUACGGGCAGGCUGGAGUUCGGCAGGGGAGACUGGAAUUCCUGGUGUAGCGGUGAAAUGCGCAGAUAUCAGGAGGAACACCGGUGGCGAAGGCGGGUCUCUGGGCCGAUACUGACGCUGAGGAGCGAAAGCGUGGGGAGCGAACAGGAUUAGAUACCCUGGUAGUCCACGCCGUAAACGUUGGGCGCUAGGUGUGGGAUCCCUUCCACGGGUUCCGUGCCGCAGCUAACGCAUUAAGCGCCCCGCCUGGGGAGUACGGCCGCAGGGCUAAAACUCAAAUGAAUUGACGGGG